rnacentral:rRNA from 1 species
AGUUGGUGGGGUAACGGCCUACCAAGCCGACGAUCAGUAGCCGACCUGAGAGGGUGACCGGCCACAUUGGGACUGAGACACGGCCCAAACUCCUACGGGAGGCAGCAUG